rnacentral:rRNA from 1 species
GGGGGGACCACCCUCCAAGGCAAAACACAGAUAUCGACCGAUAGCGCAUAGUACCAUGAGGGAAAGGUGAAAAGCACCCCGGGAGGGGAAUGAAACAGAACCUGAAACCGUAUGUUUACAAGCAGUCGAAGACCGCUUAAUAAUAAGGUCAACGGCGUGCCUAUUGAAGAAUGAACCGGCGAGUUAUGAGGUCCAGCAAGGUUAAGCAGGAAAUGCGGAGCCGAAGCGAAAGCGAGUCUUAAUAGGGCGACAAGUUGGAUUGCAUAGACCCGAAACCACAGUGAUCUACCCAUGUCCAGGCUGAAGCACAGGUAAAAAUGUGUGGAGGGCCGAACCUAUAUCCGUUGAAAAGGGUUAGGAUGAGGUGUGGGUAGGGGUGAAAUUCCAAUCGAACGUGGAGAUAGCUGGUUCUCCCCGAAAUAGCUUUAGGGCUAGCCUCGAGGUAGAGAUUGCAGGCGGUAGAGCACUGAUCAGGAGAGGGGCCUACCCGGCUACCAAACCCAGUCAAACUACGAAUGGCUGCAAUUAUACUCGGGAGUCAGACUACGACUUAUAAGGGCCGUGGUCAAAAGGGAAACAGCCCAGAUCAUCAGCUAAGGUCCCAAAUGCCGUGCUAAGUGGCGAAGGAUGUGGCGUUUCAUAAACAACCAGGAUGUUGGCUCAGAAGCAGCCACCAUUUAAAGAGUGCGUAAUAGCUCACUGGUCGAGAGACGCUGCGCCGAAAAUGUCCGGGGCUCAAGCACGGAACCGAAGCUAUGGCAUUGACUAUGUCAAUGGGUAGGGGAGCGUUCUUAACAGGAAGAAGCAUGACCGUAAGGACAUGUGGACCGUUAAGAAGUGAGAAUGCCGGUAUGAGUAUCGAAAAGAAAGGUGAGAAUCCUUUCCACCGAAAGCCCGAGGGUUCCUGAGCAACGAUCGUCGUCUCAGGGUAAGUCGGGACCUAAGCCGAGGCGGAGACGCAUAGGCGAUGGACAACAGGUUGAAAUUCCUGUACCGGAUACAAUCGUUUGAGCGAUGGAGCGACGCAGAAAGGCAUAUGAUCGCGCGACUGGAAGAGCGCGUCCAAGUGCGUAUGUUGAAUCGGAGGCAAAUCCCUGAUUCUGAAAGCAGAGACACGAUGGGGAGUUAUACGAAAGUAUGACGAACUCAUAGAUCCUACACUGCCAAGAAAAACUUCUAGUGAGAAAGUAUCCGCCCGUACCGUAAACCGACACAGGUAGGCGGGGAGAGAAUCCUAAGGUGCGCGGGAAAACCCUCGUUAAGGAACUCGGCAAAUUGCAUCCGUAACUUAGGGAGAAGGAUGACCUUAAGUAAGCGAAAGGGAGAAACCCCUGGAACAGAACAAGGUGGCAGAAAAGAGGCCCAAGCAACUGUUUACCAAAAACACAGGUGCCUGCGAAAGCGAAAGCUGAAGUAUAGGUGCUGACGCCUGCCCGGUGCUGGAAGGUUAAGGAGAGAUGUCAGAGCAAUCGAAGCAUUGAACUGAAGCCCCAGUGAACGGCGGCCGUAACUAUAACGGUCCUAAGGUAGCGAAAUUCCUUGUCGGGUAAGUUCCGACCCGCAUGAAAGGCGUAAUGAUUUGGGCACUGUCUCAACGAGGGGCCCGGUGAAAUUGAAAUACCUGUGAAGAUGCAGGUUACCCGCGACUGGACAGAAAGACCCCAUGGAGCUUCACUGCAGCUUGAGAUUGAAUCUCGGUGAUGCAUGCACAGGAUAGGUGGGAGACUUUGAAGUAUGGGCUUUGGCUUAUACCGAGUCGAUGUUGGGAUACCACCCUUGUAUUGCUGAGAUUCUAACACGGAGGCUAACAACCUCGUGGACCAUCUCAGGUAGGCGGUUUGACUGGGGCGGUCGCCUCCGAAAGAGUAACGGAGGCGCCCAAAGGUUCCCUCAGGUCGGACAGAAACCGACCGAAGAGUGCAAAGGCAGAAGGGAGCUUGACUGCGAGACAGACAAGUCGAGCAGAGACGAAAGUCGGGCUUAGUGAUCCGGUG